rnacentral:rRNA from 1 species
AUUGAACGCUGGCGGCAGGCCUAACACAUGCAAGUCGAGCGGAUGAAGGGAGCUUGCUCCUGGAUUCAGCGGCGGACGGGCGAGUAAUGCCUAGGAAUCUGCCUGGUAGUGGGGGAUAAGGUCCGAAAACGGGGGCUAUUACGCCAAUCCCCCUGAGGAGGAAAGUGGGGGAGCUUGGGACCUUCCGCCCUUGGUCGAGCCUAGGUCGGAUUAGCUAGUUGGCGGGGUAAAGGCCUACCAAGGCGACGAUCCGUAACUGGUCUGAGAGGAUGAUCAGUCACACUGGAACUGAGACACGGUCCAGACUCCUACGGGAGGCAGCAGUGGGGAAUAUUGGACAAUGGGCGAAAGCCUGAUCCAGCCAUGCCGCGUGUGUGAAGAAGGUCUUCGGAUUGUAAAGCACUUUAAGUUGGGAGGAAGGGCAGUAAGUUAAUACCUUGCUGUUUUGACGUUACCAACAGAAUAAGCACCGGCUAACUUCGUG